AUGCAUUGGGUUUCCUGGAAGGAGUUAUCUAAACCCAAGUGCGAGGGUGGGAUGGGGUUUCGAGACCCGCAUCUGUUUAACCUAGCUAUGUUGGGCAAGCAUGGGUGGCGUUUCAUCACCAACCCAAAUUCGCUUUGUGCGAGAGUACUCAAGGGCCAUUACUUUUCGGAUACCGAUUUCAUGCAAGCUCCAGUUCCCAAGUCAGCCUCGACAACUUGGAAGGCGAUUGUGGCGGGAAGGGACACCUUGAAAACAGGGUUGAUCUCCAGAGUGGGAGAUGGUUCUACUAUAUCGGUUUGGGAGGACAAGUGGAUCCCAGGUACGAUUACAAUGACUCCAACUCCAAGACCCACAAGUACAAACAUUGAGAGGGUUUCAGACCUCAUAGACACGCGGAGUUGGUCUUGGAAGAUCGAGCUGAUCAGGGAUAAUUUCACGGCUCAAGAUGCCGCGGCCAUACUUAAUAUUCCUAUCAGGCAAGGCGGUGGUGAUGAUUUUCUUUCUUGGGCUUUUGACAUAUCAGGUAACUACACUGUAAAGACGGCGUACCAUGCUCUCGUGACUCAGAACGAGCGUUUGGCUCUAGAGGAAGGGACGGCUACCGAAACCUCAUCGAACGAGCAACAGUUGUGGAAAUCCUUAUGGAAGCUGAAUGUUAUCCCAAAAGUAAGAGUGUUCUGGUGGAGAGUGCUUCGUGGCAUUCUUCCAGAUGAAACAACUCUCAACUAUCGACACAUUGCAGAUGUUCGCCAGUGUAAUGUUUGUCGUUCUGCGGAGGAGGACUUGAAGCAUGCGCUAUUUGUUGGGGAACGUAGUAAUUUCAAAAAAAUUCCUACGCACACGCAAGAUCAUGGUGAUGCAUAG
rnacentral:rRNA from 1 species